UGCCUGGUAGCCAUAGCACAGUAGAACCACCUGUUCCCAUUCCGAACACAGAAGUGAAAUGCUGUUACGCCGAUGGUAGUGUGACAUUCGUCAUGUGAGAGUAGGACACUGCCAGGC
rnacentral:rRNA from 1 species